rnacentral:lncRNA from 1 species
GGCGCCGUCUGUGGAAAUGCUUCCUAUCCACACAUACUCCCUCUUGACUAAGGGGCUGUGUUGUGGGGUAGAGAGGACUUCUUUAGUCCCAUAUAAUAUUAAAGCUUAAGGCUCACUGAAGCCUAAAAAUGAUCAUGAGUUAAAGCGGACAAUACCUUAUGUAUGCGGAGAUGGAGGUAUAAGCCAAUCAUCUGAGCCAUUCGAUCUCUUGACCCAUGACC